AUGUUCAUUACUGCUCAUGCAUUGGGCCAGCAAAUAGCAACACCUACACCAAGUGUAGUUAUUCACAUAAAUGGCAAAAGAGCAACUGCCUUACUGGAUUCAGGCAGCAGUGCUUCAUUUAUAAGUCAAGAAUUUGCUGUUAAAGCUAAUUGUCACUUAUUGCCAAUGAAAUCCAGACUUAUUGCAGUAGCUGGAGGUGGCAAAUUAACUUCCAAAGCUGUGGUGCCCAACUGUGAAUUCCAGCUGGCCAAACACACAUUGCAGUAUAAUUUCAGAGUGUUACCUUUGCCUGGAUAUGAUGUAAUUCUGGGAUAUGACUGGUUUACCCUCAUGAGCCCAGUAACUUUCAACAUACCAGAUAACACUUUUAGUUUUUCACUUCAAGGAAAAACAACAAUUACUGCAGCAAUCUUUAACACACCAGAAAAAGUUCAGGAAGUACCAGCUGAGAAGAUGAGCAAUUACUGGAAAAAGGAGCUGAGGCAUUCUUACUGCAGGUGCAUAAUAUCAUUCUACAAGCUCCUGUGGGUUUUAAAAUUCCCCCUCAAGUGCAGAAACUGUUAUUAA
rnacentral:rRNA from 1 species